CGUGUCGCCAAUGCCCAGUGUUUUCUUUCUUCUCUCUUCGCAAUUUCACAUCUCUCUCUUUCUUUUUGUCGAGAAACGCCGACGAUUUCAGCUCUCAUGGUCUUAUUCUGUCGAAUUGAGAGUAGCACUUGGCAUGAAUUUCGUGUUUGAGCAGUCGUUAUCUUCACUCUUCGAUGUCGUCUCACUCUCCCCUCAAUUCUCGAAACUUUCACCGGAGAAAUCUCUGUCAUUCGGCUUCCUCCGUCAAACUGAGAGGUUAAUUGAGUGGAGAUUGCAUUUUUGAUCUGGUCUGUAUCAUCAUCUGCAGGAUAAAUGGUACGAAACUCCCUGAUUUCACUUGUAGAUCGAAAAUUAGGGUUUUAAAUAUGCUUCAAAAAUUAGGGUUUUUCACAAUUGGGAAUUGACUGUAUCAAAAUUAGUGUUCUCUGAUGUUUGCAUGUCGUUUUCAUACCAAAUUGGGGUUGGAUUUUGUUAGCAUCAAGUUUUUUUUUAAAAAAAUUAGGGUUCAUAUGAUGUUGUUAAAAGAUUGGGAAUUCGUAAUUGAUCUGUUUGUUUCCGUUUAACAUCGCAGAUAAUGUUGUUUUGAACCAUGAAAUUGAUCUGUUUGAUACGUUUUUGAAAUGUGUUUUGCUUGAAAUAGAUAAAUGUCGCAGAUAGUGUUUUUUGAUGAGGCUUAUUGAUCUGUUUCUCUGUUUUUGGCGAGGUCAAUUGGAGAACAAGCAGACAUAUGGAGUAACAGCUCAUGUAAGGUUUGUUUGGACAAAAUGAAUGACUUUGGGACUUGGCAGAUGAAUGAGUAUCAUCGUAAGAGAGAAAUGGUACAAAUGAGUUUUCAGGUUGGGUUUAGGACUUGUAUGACUUUGAUGUAUGAUUGCUUGUAGUUAAAGAUAUUGUUUUGUAUAAAUUUGAAUUUUUUCCCUAAGAUACUAUCUUUCUUCUUAACCGUUGGACCUCCUUUUUCUUAA